rnacentral:lncRNA from 1 species
AUGUUGAUUCAACAGUUGGAGCCACUAGCUGAGCAACAAAUAAUGGGGAUGUAUGGCUUGAGGCAUUCCUCACAGCAAGCAGAAGAAGCACUCUCUCAGGGCCUUGAGCAGUUGCAACAGUCUCUUGUGGACACCAUAGCUGGAGGCCCAGUUGUUGAUGGUGUUCAACAAAUGGUCCUUGCCAUGAGCAAGCUUGCCAAUCUUGAAGGAUUUGUUCGCCAGGUAAAUUAACUUUUAAAUUGCACCUGCAUUUAGCAACACAUUCUUUAAUAUUUUUUUAUAUAAAUAAUAUAUUUAAAAGAAUAUAUUGUUAUUUUUUUUUUAACUUUUUGCUUAUUUUGACUUGAGUGAUCACAUUUUUCUUUUUCUUCUUGGGUGAGUUAAAUACUUUUACAAGUACAAAAUUUGGUGGUGAGGUUGACGUAAAGCCUCAUAGUGACCCGACAUCUGUGGGUGUUGCAAUUUCUGUUUGACUAAUGAUUUCGUAAGCUUUUGUCAAAAUUAGAUUUGAAUGUGCGUGUGACUUGUCAAUUUUAAUUAUUUGGGUUUAGAUACUAAUUAUAAACUUCAUAGUUGAAAACGGAAGCCACGUUAAUUAGACUAGGGCAAUUGCUUCUUUUACCUUCUUUUGACUUUUGAUUUUUUUUUCAUAGGAUAGUUAUGACACUUUAUUAUGCUUUAACUGUUUUCAUUUUUUGCUUUGUUAUAUAUGAAUAUACAAAUAACUAGCUAGGUCUUAAUUAAUUAUCUUCACUUCUUGGUCGUCACGUCUCUCUAAGUAUAUAUUGUUUCCUGGCACAUUAGUUAAAUAAGCGGAGAUAUGUAUUGCUUUCGAUUGCUUAUAAGUUAUAACGUUCUCGUUCAUCAAAAUAUUGGAUUCUAGUUCUAGGCAUUUGAUGUACUUUUUCCAUUUUAAAAUGUCUUAGUCAGAAGUUGGUUUUAGAAAGCGAUGGCUAAUGUUGAAUCAUAAACCCUCGGUAGAAUUAUCAUCAUUGCUAUUUUAAAAGACAAUUUCUCAAGUGUUUUCUAAUUUUUUUGAGGAAUUUAUAAUUAAUUAAAUUCUAGGGUUAUAGAAGAAAAUAAAAUGCAUUACUUUAUUCAAUAAUUAGCAACUGUCAAUUAAGUUUAUUGAUAAGACUACCUCACCAAAUAUUGUAUAAUUGUUAAAUUAUUUAACAAUCCCAGAAUCUGAAUUGGAUAAUUAAUUUUAUAAUUGUUAAAUUUAAUAUAAUAAUAUUUUAAUUUUAAUUUAACGGCUUAUAUACAAUAUCACUCGCUAUAUUACAUAUUCUUAAUAAAGUAUUGUAACAUUUUUUUUUUAGAAUACACAAGAGCUUUCUCUUAUAGGAGAGCCAUCUUAUAUGGUAGCAGGUGGGGAUUAAUUCCUUGUUCGAUACAAGAUACUGGUUAAGCAAGAAUUAAUGCUACACUUUUUUGUUGUUGUUGAGACACUGUGCUGUUGAAACUUGCAAGAGAUGCAAAAGAUAAAUAUUAACCUUUGAAUUAUAUAUAAAUAAUUAAAAUUAAAACCUUAAAUCUCACAUGAUUAUUUUAAAAUUUAGAUGAAUCUAUAUUUUAAUUUCAAAUUUUUUUUAUUAAUAUAUGCAGACAUAGAGUCAUAGACAAAUGCAUCAAUUCUUAACUUAUUAACUUCCAUAAACUUUUAUGAAUUAAAGGCUGAUAAUUUGAGGCAGCAAACUCUUCAUCAGCUAUGUCGAUUACUCACAGUUCGUCAAGCCGCACGAUGCUUCAUUGUUAUUGGAGAGUACUAUGGACGUCUUCGUGCCCUUAGUUCUCUUUGGGCAUCAAGACCACGAGAGUAAGUUAGAAUUUAUUUACUUAUUAUUAUUAUUUAAUCGGAAAAUAGUUUUAAAGAUAGAAGAAUGAAGUACUUUCUAAUUUCAUUGAGUCACCGGUUUUUUCUUUAUGGAGCAAAGAAUUGCCAUAAUAUACCAUUUUUCGUUUUUCUUUGAUGUUUAUACUUCAUACCACUUUUAGAGGUAAAAAAUAAUAAUUAGUUGGAGUAUUUGAUUGCUUCCGCCAUAUUCUUUCUUCUUAUUGACAUUUUGAUUUUAUUUUAAGUUUAUAUGUAUAUAACUUCUAUUAUGGUCCAUAUACACUAAUUUUCUUUUGGGAUAUUCAAACAGGACCUUGAUCAGCGACGAUAACUCAUGUCAAACAACUACGGAAAUGCAAAUAGUCCAACAUUCUCAGAAUUAUUUCUCAAGUUUCUGAGAGAUAUAAUUAAAACCCAUUAGCCUGAAAGAAGCUUCCUAGCCAUAAUUAAGUGGAUUUCGUUG